rnacentral:rRNA from 1 species
GAUGAACGCUGGCGGCGUGCCUAAUACAUGCAAGUCGAGCGAACAGACGAGGAGCUUGCUCCUCUGACGUUAGCGGCGGACGGGUGAGUAACACGUGGAUAACCUACCUAUAAGACUGGGAUAACUUCGGGAAACCGGAGCUAAUACCGGAUAAUAUAUUGAACCGCAUGGUUCAAUAGUGAAAGACGGUUUUGCUGUCACUUAUAGAUGGAUCCGCGCCGCAUUAGCUAGUUGGUAAGGUAACGGCUUACCAAGGCAACGAUGCGUAGCCGACCUGAGAGAGUGAUCGGCCACACUGGAACUGAGACACGGUCCAGACUCCUACGGGAGGCAGCAGUAGGGAAUCUUCCGCAAUGGGCGAAAGCCUGACGGAGCAACGCCGCGUGAGUGAUGAAGGUCUUCGGAUCGUGAAACUCUGUUAUUAGUGAAGAACAAAUGUGUAAGUAACUAUGCACGUCUUGACGGUACCGAAUCAGAAAGCCACGGCUAACUACGUG